CCUGGUCCCCUUGCAGUGGGGGGAAGGAAUCAAACCCCCAAGAUGGCGGCGGCGUCGGAGGAGCGGAUGGCUGAGGAAGGAGGCGGCGGCCACGGCGACGGCGGCCCCUCUUCGGCCGUCGGCUCUGCCCAGCGACUGCCCCCCCCGCCCCCGCCCCCGGCCCCGCAGCCGGGCUCUCAGGCGCCCCCAGCCCCGGCGCUGGCUCCCGACCAGCUGCCUCAAAACAACACGCUGGUGGCGCUGCCCAUCGUAGCCAUCGAGAACAUCCUCAGCUUUAUGUCCUACGACGAAAUUAGCCAGCUCCGCCUGGUUUGUAAAAGAAUGGACUUGGUCUGCCAGAGAAUGUUGAAUCAGGGAUUUCUAAAAGUGGAGAGAUACCACAAUCUAUGUCAGAAACAAGUUAAAGCACAACUUCCAAGGAGGGAGUCAGAAAGAAGAAACCACUCGUUAGCUCGUCACGCGGACAUCCUUGCUGCUGUGGAAACAAGGCUCUCACUGUUAAACAUGACUUUCAUGAAAUAUGUGGAUUCCAAUCUCUGUUGCUUCAUCCCAGGAAAGAGCAAAAGCUGUGUUUUAUUCAUCCUGAGUCCUUAGCCCCAGCACCUGAUACAGAAAAUUUUAAUAAAUGUGCAUGUGAGGCCGGUGAAGGAUUAUAACAAGCCCAAAGCCGUGUGGGACAGACGUCUUGUCACCAGUGGCCAGCACCUCAGUCCCGUCACCCCGGAGGUCUUUACCAGGAUCGCACAAGAAGUGGUGAGUCAUUUUCUUUUAAACACAAUGGAAAGUGCUAAUGAGACUCCUUGUUUUAGGUGAUUGAUGAGAUUUAUCGUGUGUUGAGAUACGUCAAUUCUACCAGAGCCCCUCAACGAGCUCAUGAAGUACUUCAAGAGUUAAGGGACAUCUCCUCCAUGGCGAUGGAGUACUUUGAUGAGAAGAUCGUGCCCAUUCUGAAGAGGAAGUUACCAGGAUCAGAUGUGUCCGGAAGACUCAUGGGCUCUCCUCCAGUUCCGGGACCUUCUGCAGCCCUCACAACAAUGCAGCUCUUCUCCAAGCAAAACCCUUCACGACAAGAGGUAACCAAACUCCAGCAGCAGGUUAAGACAAACGGUGCCGGUGUGACUGUUCUCAGGCGUGAAAUUUCCGAGCUUCGCACCAAAGUGCAGGAACAGCAGAAGCAGCUUCAAGACCAGGACCAGAAACUGCUAGAGCAGACCCAGAUCAUAGGCGAACAGAACGCGCGGUUGGCGGAGCUGGAGCGCAAACUGCGGGAAGUCAUGGAGAGCGCGGUGGGAAACUCCUCAGGGGCUGGGCAGAACGAAGAGUCUCCUCGGAAACGGAAAAAGGCAGCUGAAGCCAUAGACUCCCUUAGGAAAUCUAAGCGUCUCCGGAAUAGAAAGUAAAGUGGGGGCGGGUCCUGGCUCCAGAGGAAGACGUGGCUGAAGCAGUUACGUACCUCAGGACGCCCCAGAGGCUUCUGGUCUUUCAGAAAGAACGCAACUUCAGCUUGAACUCUCACGGUUGGGACAGUCUUCUCCCGCUUCUCCUGGUUGAACUGAUGCACAGAACCUUUUUACUUUGCAAUAGAUUUGUACUAACCAGACCUGUCCUAUCAUGUUUUGAGGAGUUAACUUUUUUUCUGUGCAGAUAUUGUUUAAAGUAAGUUUAUUUGUUCUUGCAUAUAUGCACAUUACAGAAGGAUCUAAACAAACCAGUCUGGACAGACUAGAAGUUAAGUUGAAUACAGAAAAUGUCCUGUUUCACUUGAAAGAAAAGACCUACUUUUUAAAUGGACAGUAUCUUGUUUUAAAAAAAAAAAAAAAAAGAAAAAGUUGACUUUUUGUUAUAAGUGACCUUUGUCUGGAAUGUCUGAAAAGUAGUAAAUGCUUUUUGGUAUCGAAGUAAUGGGUAACUAAAACGGACUUCCAUAGUGUUGACUAUAGGAGGGGCCUCUACAGUAUUGACUAUAUAUUUUUAUAAACUACUGGCAAGGGACUUAUCCAGUUGUUCUACACGUUUUCAGUUCUCUUCUGGGACCACGCCCUGCAUUUGCAUGGAUGCAUGCACGCAUCGCCUAGUCAGCUCACGUAAAAAGCUCUUGCACUGGUAUUGACCUUGAACCUCUCUAUUUCUCCACUUUCUAGAGCAGCGUUAGUUUAUUUGAGCACCUAACAUCUUCCACCACCACAACAGCUUGCCUCCAGGGAAGAAUUAGUCAGUCCAUUUGUCCUCCGGUUUUAGGGGAAUGAGGGAGCAUCAAAGCCCAUCGCUUUCUCUGUUCUCUCUAGGGUUCAGGUGCAGUGGCCAAGGCAGAACCCCAAACGCCAAGGCUCUGUCAGUGUUGGACCUCUGGGGACUGGUAGUGGCCCUUACUCACCACCGUGUGUGUUCAUGGAUCAGUGUGGUGAUCACCACGGGUGUGAGCAGGGGACCCAGCUUGUGGGAUGCAGUUUUGCCAUUGAAAGAAAGCUCAUUGAAGAACAUCCUACUAUGAAAAAGCAUUUUGAUCAUUUCAUUUCUGGGAGAUGACCUGAGGGAAGCUUUUAAAUAUUAAUUUCAAGCUUUCCUUAUCCUACAACUUUAAACAAAAGCUUUAAUUUCGUUUGCACUCCUGUUUUGAGCGUGUAACUGGAAAAGCAUGUCUUGCACUGUUCACACUGCUAAGCGGUCACUUUAACAACCUCCAGAUUGUGUACAGUGGUUUCUUUCCCCACUUGUAUAUUUUUGAGACCUUCAACUAUUACUGUCCUCGUUUUAUGUUAAUGUACUAAAUUAUGUAGUUAUUAUUUGACUGAUAAGUUCUUUUAUCAACUCUCAACAACUGUUGCCUUGGGCUUCAGUUCUUUAAAAUAGUUUUAGGUGUAAUAUAGAAAAUUAUCCCUGUCCAGGUGGGAGUUUGACACCUGCAUAAAACCUAAGGUUUUGGUAAGUACCUUAGUUGAAUAAAAGCACAAAGUUACCGCCCUUUUCACCCGUCCACCAUGACACGGUUAUGCAUCCUUUAACCUCACCAAACGAAACUUUUUCUUACCCAUUUUUAAGAUUGUCCUUCCAUAAUACUGUCCUUAGAUUUUGAUCAAUUCUCUGUCUGACUUGGAAACUCCAUUUACAAUGUAGUACGUUUUCAAUGAAAAAACAAAAAAAAAUACCAUAUAACAUCCAAGUGUUUCAUGGUUUGUUGGGAAGGUAAUUUUAAAAUAAACAAUUUCCAAAAAACAUUUGUCAGCCAAGGUCAUCCAUAAAAGUCCCCGUCUGGAACUCGUUUUCUCGGCAGGUGUCAUUUUUGUAAUCCUAGGAUUUAGCCAUAUUGUCCUAACUCUGGAGCAGGCCCUACUGGAAUACUCAUGGCUGUGAAUAGUCUACCUUCCCGGUAAUAGGAAGACUCUUUUUAGAGUAACCAGGUAACAUGUUUACAGGUUUACAAAGUAGGAUCCUUACACAUCAAAGGGAUACAACCUCAGAUGAUGAGCAGUUGUUCAUGAACUAUUUAAAGUUCCUGGGUUUCUUUUUAAACUACACCUAGACACCCUAAAUGUAUGUAGAAUCUUCCAUUAGUUAGCAUGAGUAUUUGGCUUUCACAGGAAGCAUCCACACUAUCAGAAGGUAGAUUUUCUGUUUCAAAAUCCACACUUACACAGGAUUCGCUCGUAACUGUCCAGAAGGCCCCUGAGUUGCACUUGUUAAUGCAUGAAUGUUCCAGAAGAGUAGGAGAAGAAAGCACUACAGUUCAGUUGUCUGCUUAAGUCUUAAAUCUGACUUAAGACAUCUCGCUAAAAACACGUUAGGCUGUGGCCUUGACUGAUUUGAUAGCUGUUACACUUGCUUUGGGAUAGCAUAGUGGCAUUUAGGGUUCGACGGAUCACAAAUUUGCAUCCGCUAAAACCGACAUGCCACAGGAAGGUUGCAGACUAGCCUCCCGAAUGGGAAGAGUCUUGCCCUUGCCCGGGGUUAGACACCGGUGGCUUCAGCGCCAGACGGGAGCGUCAUGUUGUCCUGGAACGAGAUGCCAUGAGUUCCUUGGGUCCUCUUCCUUGGCUGUUUCUCAGAGGAGGCUUCUCUGUGUCAGCGGGUCACUCCCACUAGUGACUCGAUUAUGGCGCAGCGCCCGCGACACAGACCCGAGGGGAAGAGGCGUCAGGAACGACGGGGACUUGCCCCCGCCUCACCCACCCAGGGCCCCCCACGUCUCUCCCACAUGGACUCGGCUCGGUUUUCACAUAAUCGAAAUACGGAUUCUUUCAGGACGUGAGGUUACAGAACCUCCUGCUUUUCAAGCUCCUUUGUCGCUGUGCAGAGCCUGGAAGUGCCGAGGCAGACGCAGACGGAGCACCAGUAAUGCAUCAGACUGCUUUAAAGACUGUCGGGCUGCCAUCUGGUCUAAAGCCACUGGUUUUAGAAGCAGCUUUGUUUUUGUUUUUGUUUUUUGGUAAGACGUGUUUUUUGGAAUACUGAACUUUACAGGGGCUUGCCUUAAUCUCUAUUUAGUAGUUUCAAGGUGUUAUGCGCUAUUAUUCUACUUGUUAAAAUGUUGAAAUAUUCUAUGUAGCCCCGAAGGUGGGUAAAACAGUAUGAGUCAUGCCUAAAUAAAUAAGCUAAAGGUGUCACUCUAGCUGGAUUUUUUUGUUUGUUUGUUUUAGAAAAGAUGGACAUAUGAACAGAGGCUAUGUGUAAGAAGCAAAAACCAUGGCACCUUGAGAUUGCACUAUUUUAUGCAUUGUUUUCUAUGCCAUUUCAUAGCCUGCACUUUAAUCUCCAAAGAAACAAUGUAUGAUGUCCCAGUUCCUGAUCAAUAGGAAACUGUUUCCUAAGACAGGGGACUUAAUUCUGUUUUACUGAGAGUUUCUUGGAGGUGGAUCCCUUUCCUGAGUUCUCUAUUUCCUUAGCCAUUAAUAUUUUCUAGGAUCUAGGAACUCCUGAUCUUGUAUGUUUCCAACAGUAUAGAAUUUUAAUUUAAUGUAACGUAAAAUCUCAUCCUUGGCGAUCAGCACAUUCUUACAUGCUGCCCUAGCAGUGAGUACCCAUUUGUUACAGAGCCCUCUCGAAAUAUCAUGUAAGUACGAUCUGAAGCUGGGAAUAGAGGCAUUCUUAAAAGUAAACGUCCCGUAUGAUGCAGGCUCUCAGAACCGGCUAUUUCUAAUAGAGAACACAUAAGGUCCGAUCUGAUAAUGCCGUCCAGUUUUUUGAGACCUGAGUCCCUUUAGUCCACGAAAGGUUAUGAAGUUAAAACUCCUCGGAAAUAACAAGCUUCUGUAGCCCGCUAUCUGAGGUCAAUUCUUUUCAAAAAAUACUAAAGCAAUCUAAAAAAUGAAACUAGCACUCGGUUGACUGCUGCCCACCAUUUUCUUUUUAGUAGCAGUACUUUAUGUUCGUGGUAAGUAUAGCUUAAGUAAUGUUGGCCUUUUCCAGCUUCCGAAGAAUCUUUGUUAAAUUCCUAAAAUUCAAAAGUUAAAUCCAAACCUAACUUGUGUCUGAAGAGAACCAUGGGAUUUAGAAGCAUAUUGGAAAUCUAUGAGGUCCAUUGCCAAAGUAUACUGGUCCAUAUUCAAAACUAUACCAAAAGUUUAGAAGUGUUUUUAAAAUUCCUUUAUGUGGUACCAUGUCUGUUUACUUAUGCUCAUGAGCACCAAUAAAUUACUAGUUUGCCUUCUGGAAUUUCAAUUGUUAUAACCUAAUUGAAUUAUUGAAAGUGAAAAGCACCUCCCGCUCACACAACAGGGUACGUGAAUAAAUGUGUUGUAACCAGU